UAGUUAUAGACAGUUGAGAUCUGCUAU
rnacentral:piRNA from 1 species